UGAAAUCUGGAUCUGUGAGAACCAGACCGUUACAAAGUGGGAGAGUGAUAUCUUUGAAUACAAAGAGGCGCUUGCCAAGAAAGUCCGCAAACAGAUCGCAAAAAUGAGGGACGGUUGACAACGUGGAUAAUUAAGUUCUGUUUUUAACACUAAGUUAUUGCAAAGCAACCUCUCCUUUUUUAUUAUUUUUUUUUUUUUGGUUAAAUGAAUUGAUUUUCUUAUUUUAAAUCAAUCGGUGCAUGUAUUUAUGAAGUUUUGCUGUUAUGAGAUUUGGCAGGGCAAUUAUUGCACAAGUGUGAUUGUAAACUUUGAAAAGGGAGUGUAUGCAAUAUAUUGUGUACAGGUAUGGUUGACCAAGUGUGUGUGGAUUGACCAGAAACUUUCAAGAAGUUCAAUUUCUUGAAAUUAAAAAAAAAAGCAAAAAAAAAAAGUCAAAAGAACAACAACUGUAAAAUGUGUUUGUAUGAAAAGUCUGGUUGAUUAUUUUCACUUUAUGCCUUUUAAAAAUCUCUUAAAAUUCAAGAAAGUCAAAAUGGCAAAAUAUAUUUACAUGUGAGAGAACUUGAUGCAAUGGUGUGAAGAACUCUUCAUGAUCACACCUUUACAAGUAUUCUUCUCAAGAAAAAAAAAAUUGGAGUUCAAACACCAUCAGAACACUUUUAUUUAAUGUAUUUGCAUUUUUUUUGUUAGAAACAUUGUCAGCAUAUUUUCCCCUCUAAAACUUGUCUGUGUUACAAUAUGAUAUUUAUUUCCAUUUUAUUUUCCUUGUUUUCUUUAAGGAAUAUUUUGGAGAAAUGAUGUAUAUUGCAAGAUUGACUGUUACAACAAUCAUGUGAAAAAUCUCAACUGCUAUUUAAUAUUAUGAAUUUAUGGAUCAGGUUUGUUAAACAAAGAACAGUAAUUUUGAAUAUUUAUGAAAUGUUCCAAAGAAUUUGAAAGAAAUUAAUAAAAUCAAGGAAAUUUUUU
rnacentral:misc_RNA from 1 species